GCUAGGCGAAUGGGUACUGCUGAGAUUACAGGGUCAGCACAAAGCAGAAUACAGGACCCGAAAAUAACAGCUGCACCGGAAGAAUACUUGACCACUGUUUAAGAAGGAAUUUGACGAAGAGCAGUCACCGAGUGCAGCCCUGGGCCGGCUAAAGGAAAAGAAAAAAAAUCACUCAACUGCCGCUCGGCGGCGGGAAUGCCAGGCGGGUCAGAGAAGGGAAACAGGGUGCUUUGCAGCCGCGGUGCAGGCGCAGGGCAACCCCCUGCCCAGCACUGAAGUCUAGAGCAGGCUCUGCGGGUAAAUAGGAGAAAAUCCUAGUGAGCCUUAUUGUGAUUCAACAUUUAGAAUUUUCCCCCAGUUCUGACCUUGAGAUUUAAUAAAAGGCGUUUUCAAGUUACACUGGUUCUCUUUUCAUAUGGAAAUGAAUUUGGGGUGAUUGUUUUCACUGGUGUCUUAUUACUUUACGAAAUUAUGAGCACCCCUUUGCAAGGAAAAAUACCUUCUGUCCUUUGGAUUGCUGGUUAAAUACGGGUAAUUUUCAUUCCUAUUUAAAUCAACUUGAAAAAACAAAAGGAGGCCACGUAGGCAAAAGUUCGUUUUGAGGAAGGAAGUUCUCCUAAAAGCUAGGAUGGAAAAAAGAAGAGAGAGUGAGAACAAGUAAACUCCCCACAGCUCUAUCCUUGCCCAUGCCACCCCAUGGUUUGGAGGAACCAAACCCCCAGCCUUUUGAGGGGUGAGACUCCUGGAAUUUUCGUCCCGUGCCUUCGUGGGGAUUUCUCCUGUAUUUAGUAUUUGUUCACCCGACACAGACUUGCAGAGCCUAAUGCAUUCCAGACACUGCGCUGAGUGCCAGGAAUAAAGAAACAUCUGUACCUGGUACAGUCUGGCUGGGGCAAGAAACCACCAACAUGAUAAGCAAAUGAAUGUAUAAUGUAACAGAACAUGGGUUGUGCCCUGAAGAAAAAUAAAGACUGACCAGGAAAGGGGAUGGGAGUGGGGAGAAAAACCAUAUUAAACUGAAUUAUACCUUCCACCUUACCU
rnacentral:lncRNA from 10 species